UACGUAGGCAGCGAGCGUUGUUCGGAGUUACUGGGCGUAAAGGGUGUGUAGGCGGUUGUUUAAGUUUGGUGUGAAAUCUCCCGGCUCAACUGGGAGGGUGCGCCGAAUACUGAGUGACUAGAGUGCGGGAGAGGAAAGUGGAAUUCCUGGUGUAGCGGUGAAAUGCGUAGAUAUCUGGAGGAACACCGGUGGUGUAGACGGCUUUCUGGACCGUAACUGACGCUGAGACACGAAAGCGUGGGUAGCAAACAGG
rnacentral:rRNA from 1 species